CUGGGAAGCUGAGACAACCUCCCUUGGUAUCCAAGUAACUGCUUGCUAAGGAAAAGGCUUCUUUGGAGAGAGGCAUUGGAAAGAAUCAAAUCACAAGCCUGGAGCUGAUGAAAAGGCUGCUGU